rnacentral:lncRNA from 1 species
CUGCCUCCUUAGGAAGGAGGAAAGCCCUCCUCAACAGACACAGUCCGUGCUUUGUAAAGAACUGGUGGAUCCCCUGGGAAGAGCUUCCUAGAGAAGCUGUUGAUUGGUGAGCUGGGUAUAAAAGACAGGCGUUUAACAUGCUGGAGAGGAACAGGCGCACCCACAGCAUGAAUCUAGUCUCAAAAAAAAUGCAAACGUCUCAAAAUGAUCUCCAUUUAUGGAUAAGAACACCAGUGUUUAGAAAGAUCUGGUUAUGUGCCUGAGGUCUCUCAGCUGUCAACAGCAAAUCCGAGACUCCAGCUGAAGUUACCUGUUACAUAAAUAUUCUAAUUAAAAAAGGAAACCAGGGCAUUUUGAAAAAUUCUUCAAGGAAAAGAAAAUAUUCCGAGUAACCUAGAAAAGGCUAUCCAAUGGCUACUUCAUCAAUCACGGCAAGGACACUUAACAGGAAGGAAACCUGAGGAGAGUGGGGCCACCUUGGGGCUGGUCUAAGCAGAUCCAAAAGAAACACGCACUCAGCUCCUUAAAACCCCACAGCUUAACCGAAGCGGCCUCCCGGGAAGCAGCACAAGGAGAGGCGCGCGCAUAGCAUCUUCCAUCUUCCCCCGCGCUGGUGCUACUGGCCAACCGCACGCCACCUUCCGCCUUCAUUGCUUCCCUUGGUCACUGCAUAAACCUUCCUACUACGAAUUGAAUCGUUUUAGUCUUUCAGCUGCGCCUGAGCAGUUACUUCUGUCAACACAGGGAUAGGAGGCAGAACAGACUUUCAAGGUUGAAAAUUAAAAUAAAGCGAGUGGGUGUGCAUGCAUA